CGCGUAGGCGGGCAAUUAAGUUGGGUGUUUAACCCUCAGGCUCAACCUGAGGUCUGCAUUCAAUACUGAUUGUCUUGAGUAUCGGAGGGGAAAGUGGAAUUCUUGGUGUAGCGGUGGAAUGCGUAGAUAUCAAGAGGAACACCAGUGGCGAAGGCGACUUUCUGGCCGAAUACUGACGCUAAAGCGCGAAAGCGUGGGGAGCAAACAGGAUUAGAUACCCUGGUAGUCCACGCUGUAAACGUUGUACACUAGAUGUUGGGGGUUUCAAUGCCUUCAGUGUCGCCGCUAACGCAUUAAGUGUACCGCCUGGGGAGUAUGCUCGCAAGAGUGAA
rnacentral:rRNA from 1 species